rnacentral:rRNA from 1 species
GGGGAAUAUUGCGCAAUGGGCGAAAGCCUGACGCAGCAACGCCGCGUGGAGGACGACGGUCUUCGGAUUGUAAACUCCUUUCAGCAGGAACGAUUAUGACGGUACCUGCAGAAGAAGCCCCGGCCAACUACGUGCCAGCAGCCGCGGUAAUACGUAGGGGGCGAGCGUUGUCCGGAUUCAUUGGGCGUAAAGAGCUCGUAGGCGGCUUGGUAAGUCGGCUGUGAAACCCCCGGGCUCAACCCGGGGCCUGCAGUCGAUACUGCCAUGGCUAGAGUCCAGUAGGGGAGUACGGAAUUUCCGGUGUAGCGGUGGAAUGCGCAGAUAUCGGAAGGAACACCAGUGGCGAAGGCGGUACUCUGGGCUGGAACUGACGCUGAGGAGCGAGAGUGUGGGGAGCGAAC